CUGGCGUGAAGACCUAUGGUUCUUGGUGGAGACUCCAUUGAGGUGAACACCUGGAGGCCAAGAGGCGGCCCAUGUAGGAGCUGUCUUAAAGAUGAAAGGAAAAAGCACAUGGAGGAUUAAAAAUCACUUACAAAGCCCAAGUUUUUAAAAUUGGAUAUGUGUUGACUCUGGGAUAUUGAAAUUUUUGGAAACUCACAGCAUCUCAAACUCUACAAUGAAACCAUAGUGGAAGCUCAGUUCCAGAAGAUCCUUGAAAGUCUCACCUACCUUGAAUUCUAGUUUAACCCACAGAAAUGAAGGAGCUUGCUCACCGGUUGCUGAGGAGAGGUUACUACCCUACCAGAGCCAAGGGGAGCCCACAUACGCCUCCCUCACACCUGCUUCCUCCAGGGCCUGGCAGUGAUGGUGUGUGUCUUGGGGGUUGACCAACUUCAGCAGAGACUGAUUACAGGUGGCCCGCAAGAGGACCCAAGGCCUCGUGGCCAAGGAAGCCGUGUCUCUCUCCCCUCUGUAGAGCGGACCCUGUAUAGAGGCGGCUCGCCUUCCCUCCAAGAUGACUGUCACAUGUCUCAGUCCACCUUGCCUGCUCGGGAAGUAGGUGGGGGUGAGGUAGGAUGGAGUGGGAAAUGCGGUGCGCAUCUCUUUGGGGGGAAGGGACGGUCCGGGAAAGGUCGGUCAUGCCUCAGAGUUAGC